CAGCUCUGGACUCCAAGGCCAAUCAGCUGAUUGAGCAGGCAGGCCGACCUGAGUAGCGAGACACCAUAGUGAAGUGAUACGCAUGCUUGUAAUUAAGCGGAAGCCGUGGAGUGAGCGUGCUUCCGAUCAGAAUGACAUCUAUCCAGGGGGUCUUCUCUCCAACAGGGCAAUAUGUAAUCAUAUUUUACUUUGUUAGAGCUAGCUACCCGUCACAACAUUCUGAUAAAAUCUGCUAAUAUGUUUAAUAAAAAAAGUGGUACAGUACAGUUCAGUAGAUUUCAUUAUAGUUUUUAAUGUAAUCUCAUGUAGUCAUAUUGUAAAUACAAAUAAAAUUAAA